rnacentral:rRNA from 1 species
UACGUAGGGUGCAAGCGUUGUCCGGAAUUAUUGGGCGUAAAGAGCUCGUAGGCGGCUCGUCGCGUCGACCGUGAAAACCCGCGGCUUAACUGCGGGCCUGCGGUUGAUACGGGCGGGCUAGAGUUCGGUAGGGGAGACUGGAAUUCCUGGUGUAGCGGUGAAAUGCGCAGAUAUCAGGAGGAACACCGGUGGCGAAGGCGGGUCUCUGGGCCGAUACUGACGCUGAGGAGCGAAAGCGUGGGGAGCGAACAGG